GCGAACGGGUGAGUAACACGUGGGCAAUCUGCCCUUCACUCUGGGACAAGCCCUGGAAACGGGGUCUAAUACCGGAUAACACUGCCACGGGCAUCUGUGGUGGUUAAAAGCUCCGGCGGUGAAGGAUGAGCCCGCGGCCUAUCAGCUUGUUGGUGAGGUAAUGGCUCACCAAGGCGACGACGGGUAGCCGGCCUGAGAGGGCGACCGGCCACACUGGGACUGAGACACGGCCCAGACUCCUACGGGAGGCAGCAGUGGGGAAUAUUGCACAAUGGGCGAAAGCCUGAUGCAGCGACGCCGCGUGAGGGAUGACGGCCUUCGGGUUGUAAACCUCUUUCAGCAGGGAAGAAGCGAAAGUGACGGUACCUGCAGAAGAAGCGCCGGCUAACUACGUGCCAGCAGCCGCGGUAAUACGUAGGGCGCAAGCGUUGUCCGGAAUUAUUGGGCGUAAAGAGCUCGUAGGCGGCUUGUCACGUCGGGUGUGAAAGCCCGGGGCUUAACCCCGGGUCUGCAUUCGAUACGGGCUAGCUAGAGUGUGGUAGGGGAGAUCGGAAUUCCUGGUGUAGCGGUGAAAUGCGCAGAUAUCAGGAGGAACACCGGUGGCGAAGGCGGAUCUCUGGGCCAUUACUGACGCUGAGGAGCGAAAGCGUGGGGAGCGAACAGGAUUAGAUACCCUGGUAGUCCA
rnacentral:rRNA from 1 species